AGGAAACUAAUGAUAAAAGGAAACCAACUAACUACUAAUCCCGUACUCAAUCUUAGAGCCCCUCUUUUAGAUCCAUAAAAGUGGCUCAAUACACUCCAAAUCACAUGGAUUGAAGGCCCAACACAUAUACAACCCAACCCCAGGCUUAUUCCUAAUAAAACAAGCAUUUUUUGGUGAUUAAUCUGCAUCAUUUGGUGUUUAUCUCCAUAAAUGAUUCCGUUGAAUAAAGAUAAGGCCACCAAAUAAGAGUAAAUGUUCCCAUAACUUUUCAAGCCCAGUUUUGAAACCUCAAGCAGUGGAUACUAAUGCUUGAACAUUUUCCCUAAGAAAUGGCUGGAAAAUGCAAGUGCAAAAUAUAAACUCAUCUGUAAGAAACCAAAGACAAUACCGCCAAAUAUAAAUCCCUGCAGAUAAUAAUUACUUGCCUAUUAUCAUAAUUCCAUGUAAUUGAGAAUUUGAUGUACAUAAAUCAUACUAUUGACAUAUUUAUCCAACAAAGGGACCUUUGACCCUAGUUAAUGAUUGAGUCAAGGCAAGUAAGCAAGUGUUUCAAGCACUUGAACUCAAGAUUCAAAACCAAACAAAACAUUUCAACAAACUAGUUUCAUAAACCUUUUGAACUCAACUAUACAUAACUACAGAAUUAUUAAAGGGGAAGAGAAACAAAUAAAAUCUAGGAAAGUGGUUACUGCAACACUAGAUAAAGAAACGAACCUGUUUAUGGUUGAGUGCAAGACUGAACAAGAAACAAGCUAUCAAAUCAUUUUUAUGGAAGAUGGAAACAACAACUCCUAUUAUGAAGCCCAAGUUAAUACAGUUGUAUCAGCAAGGAACCCACAUAAUAUAAGUUUACUUUCUUCUCUUGAUGCAUAUAUAUAUAUAUAUAUAUAUAAAGUUGAAAAAAGGAGGAAGUAAAACUGGAUUUUUGAUGCACAAUCGCUUCAGACCUGAAAAUGGCUGUGAUCAAUUAGGAUAAGACAGGGGCUAACUAAAAUCAUAGCAAGAUGCCAUGCAAUGCCUUCUUUGUGGCCACUGCGGUGACCGGUGUAGUAUACCCUGAUGAAGCAUAGAACUGCAGGGAAAAAGAUGAGGGCAUUGGCUGACAACACUGUCCACCUUAUGAGUUCUUUAGAGGAAAGAAGACUUUCUAAAAUCUUACCAAAAAUAUGAGGUGUGGGUUCUGCUUGUUUGAAACCAUUAUGUGGGUAGAGAUUGGGUUUGGGGAAGGCCUGAGUUUCACAAUGAAGCAAGAUUACUCAAGGGGGUCUUAGAAUCCAACAACAGUUGCUCCUGCAAUUCAACCUGCAAUCUGAAGGUUUUCUCCCUUACUUAUCAGACACCCUCAAGAUCAAGGGCCGAAGGGCAUACUAGGGACAAUGGUGUGGAGUUGGAUGUCAGCCCCACAUCCACUCCUUCCGAAUCCUGGGCAGCUGGCAGUUGAAGCUUACCACCCGAUAUGGGGAUAUUAAGUUUAGGCUCUAAUGCAUCUGGACUCAACCACAACCUGAUGUGGGGCUUGGCCUAGGUUGACUUUUUGCCCAGUCGAUCCUGGCCGAAUGACCCUACUUGACUGAAUAGUAAACUAAAAUCCAAAUAUCUAGACAAUGAUAUAUUUCUAAUGGUUGUUGGGUUCAAGACUAUAGUGGACAAAUUUACUUCAAUUAAGGUCUUGUUACACAGAAGCUGACGACAAUCUUAUCCCCCAGGAAAAAAAAUGUUGCAAAGUUACUUAUAUAUGGAAUGAAGAAAAAAAAAAAACUUUUGUUUGCCUUGUUCAUCAUCUUCUCAAUCUUCCUCUCUUGAACUUUCUUCGUCGCUCAAUUAGUGCCAUUUUAAAUGUCAUUAAAAGCCACUCAUCUUUGAAAAUGAUGAGUCCUAUGACAAUUCCACAUCCAUAACCAAUCAACAUGGAUUUCCAAUCAAAUUCAAAGUCAUUUGCUGACUUUGAUUCCUCACCUUGUGGCAGCACUAAUAGAGAAGAUGAGGGGAAGAGAAGAGGGAGAAGAAGAGAGAAGGAGAUGGAAACCGAAUAUGGGAGAGAAAAGAUUCCUCUCCCCUAUUUGAUUUAUUGACAUGACGUAAGAAAUUAUAUACACCUCCCUAGGGAGGUAAAAGGUAAAAAAUUAUAAUUAUAACAUAAGACAAUGAGGUACUAAACUAGUGCCCAAACUACCCUUAUUACAUAAACAAUAGCAAUGUGUUGUUAUUCAAAGAUUGCUUAUGAAGGUUUGUUCACCAAAUUGUUGCUCCAUAACAAUCUUUUGGUGCUAUUUUUUAGGGCUCUUUGAUGGGGCUUUUCUUUAUCUUCAUUUGUCGAGGUAAUCUGUGAUUUUCUUCCGUAUCCUCUUUGUGUUGGUUUGGAGAUAAGUUCUUUUAGUAAUUAAUUGUACACGACUUUUCUGAGCAAAUGGGUUUUUUCCUCGUCAUGUCUUGUAGCCAUUCCAUCGUCUUUAGAUGUGGUAAUCAAUGCAGAGAUUUCCUUGCUAAUGGUUGGUUAUUAUAGGUAAGUUUCUCUUUUUUUUGCAACUCUCUUUCUCUCUCUCGUUCUAUUUCUUACUCAAGAACUGCAAAAUUCUUACAAGAAAGAAUUAAUGUUUGGUAAGGCAAGGUGCUUUAAUCAAAUGUGACGUUUAUUGAUGAGCAUAGUCUUAUUGGAAGAAUUCUAUACAGUGAUCUUGAUCUGUUUAUACAUGAAUCUUUUGGUUUGGACAUGAUCACUAGGAAUAUUGAUUAUGAGGUUGUAAAAUAUAUUACCCAUGAUUUCAUUGAUAGAACUGUUAAAGCACAUUACAUAAUUAUUCAGUUGUGCAGGUGAGUUGAUUUGAUAUUGUCUGAUCUUAUCACUGAUUCCAGCCGUAGUUCCUUGAUUCCUACACAUGUUUUGUUUAUGCUUUCGAAAGGGUUGAGUAGAUCCAUUUUCAAAUGCAACUCGGGAAGAAGCUGCUAAGAUCCUGAGUACAUUAAACUAUGCAGAACCAGCUGGAUACGGUGAUUUCAAGAUACAACCAAGGCCUCCAGGAUCUGCUUUUAUGAGGUAUCAGUUUGUCCCACAGAUGAUCUUUUUCAACUGCCUCUUUGGGUAUCUUGCACUCU